UACGUAGGGGGCAAGCGUUGUCCGGAAUCAUUGGGCGUAAAGAGCGUGUAGGCGGCCAAGCAGGUCCGUUGUGAAAACUGGAGGCUUAACCUCCAGACGUCGACGGAAACCGCGUGGCUAGAGUCCGGAAGAGGAGAGUGGAAUUCCUGGUGUAGCGGUGAAAUGCGCAGAUAUCAGGAAGAACACCAAUGGCGAAGGCAGCUCUCUGGGACGGUACUGACGCUGAGACGCGAAAGCGUGGGGAGCAAACAGG
rnacentral:rRNA from 1 species